UCCCCCAAGCAAUCCAAGGGUUCAGAAAUUUUCAUCUCUGCAUCACUAAGCGAAAUAGGGGAGGCCUUUGUUUUAAAUCCACAUAUGCCCAUUUUCACGUCAAAAUAGAGCAAGAAAUGAUUUUUUUCUUUUUUGUUUUUCUCUUUCUCAGCUGAAACAGGGGAGACCUUUGUGCCGUUGAUACCAAAUCCUCCCUAGCACACCAAAGCCUCCCAGAUCAUCGCUUCAAAGCAAUGCUCCCAAAUCCUCCGCGAUCGAUUCCCAGCUCCAAACCGUGAUCGACUCCCACCAGUCUUCCAAUCCUCUUCUCCUGCGAUGCAUCCAGCC
rnacentral:lncRNA from 1 species